rnacentral:rRNA from 1 species
AUGAUGAAAUCCGGGGAGGAAGUUAGUCAGGGUCAGCAAAUGAACGGUUUUGUGGAGGAGAAAGCUGCUGGGGAAUCUGGGGAUGGUCGGAAGAUCGAGAGGAGCCCUUCCAUCAAUCUGAAUUCCUUGCCUGCAAUUGCCCCUGCCACUACGGAGAUUGGUGUCUUGCACUGUGCAGUGGAGUCAGAGGCCAACGAUGCAAGCACUCAGAAGGGAGAUGAGUCCAGUGGCACUGAUCAGAAGAAGGUCCCGAAGAAUGAGGAGGUUGAUGAAGGUGAAGUUCAGGCCUGUGCAGAUGUGAAGAGCCACUCGGUUGACCCUUUGAAUAGCGAGAACCAUGCCGGGGAGAAGGAUGCUUUGGUAACUGUGCCAGAAAAUGAGGGUUGUGCGGAUGGUGGCGAUAAUUAUAAGGGAGUUCAAGUUCUCAGCAUUGUCAAAAAGGACGAGUCUGAGGAAAUUGUUGAUUCUAUUAAUCCUGUGACGGUUGCGGAGUAUAGAGAGGAGAAGGGCACCGCCGGUUCUACUUCUGCAAUUACUGCGGUGCGAGCACCUGGCUCCCGCUCAUCUUGUUUCCAUGGUGUGACCAGGCAUAGGUGGAGUGGGAAAUAUGAAGCUCAUUUGUGGGACAGUACUUGCAGAGUAGAAGGACGGAGAAGGAAAGGAAAGCAAGUUUAUUUAGGAAGUUAUGAUACUGAGCAAAAAGCUGCCAGGGCAUAUGAUGUUGCAGCUCUUAAAUUCUUUGGACUAAAUACAAAGCUGAACUUCUCAAUUUCGGAAUAUGAGAAGGAACUGGCGGACAUACAAGACAUGUCUCCAGAGGAAUGUGUGACAUACUUGAGAAGGAGGAGUAGUUGCUUCUCAAGAGGGGCGUCUAUUUACAGAGGAGUUACAAGGAGGCAGAAAGAUGGUCGAUGGCAGGCACGCAUAGGACUGAUUGCUGGAACUAGAGACAUUUACCUUGGAACUUUCAAAACUGAGGAAGAAGCCGCAGAAGCUUAUGAUAUUGCUGCCAUCGAGAUACGCGGCAAAAAUGCGGUGACCAACUUUGACAGAAGCAACUACAUGGACAGGGGCAUGCAUUGUAUAGAAGGCGCAGGGUUGAAGCUGCUUGCAACCAAGCCAGAAUAG